CUACAACUGAUUUCUUUCUUUUCAUUUCCGUCUCUCCAGCCCCCUGGAGGUGGAUCGUGGUGUCUGUGGGUUUAGCAGCACUCAUCACAUCUGUUGUGGCGGUCAACAUCUGGAUGAGAACUAAAGAGAAGGAAACCCAGACGGAUGAACUCACUGUGCGUUAUGAUGUAGAUGAUGACACAGUGAACUAUGAAAACAUCAGACCUGCUGAGGGAGUUUGACCAACACUUCUGCCUCCAUCACACUCCACCGAUCAACAAAGAAACUAAACUUUUCUCACCAGCAGUCAGUUCAGAAC